CAGCAGCCACGGUAAUACGUAGGUGGCAAGCGUUGUCCGGAUUUACUGGGCGUAAAGCGAACGCAGGCGGACUGUUAAGUAGGAAGUGAAAGGUCGGAGCUCAACUCCAACAUUGCUUCCUAUACUGGCAGUCUUGAGUAGCGGAGAGGAAGGGGGAACGACACGUGUAGCGGUGAAAUGCGUUGAUAUGUGUCGGAACACCCAUGGCGAAAGCACCCUUCUGGACGCAAACUGACGCUCAGGUUCGAAAGCCAAGGUAGCGAACAGGAUUAGAUACCCGCGUAGUCCCUGUCUCUUAUAC
rnacentral:rRNA from 1 species